rnacentral:rRNA from 1 species
UACGGAGGGGGGCGAGCGUUGUCCGGAUUUACUGGGCGUAAAGAGCGCGCAGGCGGCCAAGUCAGUCGAAUGUGAAAGCCCCCGGCUUAACUGGGGGAGGGUCAUUCGAUACUGCUCGGCUCGAAGACAGGAGAGGAAGUGGAAUUCCCGGUGUAGUGGUGAAAUGGCGUAGAGUAUCGGGAGGAACACCAGUGGCGAAGGCGACUUUCUGGCCUGUUCUUGACGCGUGAGGCGCGAAAGCUAGGGGAGCAAACGGGG